UACGAAGAGGGCUAGCGUUGUUCGGAAUCACUGGGCGUAAAGCGCACGUAGGCGGAUCUUUAAGUCAGAGGUGAAAUCCCAAGGCUCAACCUUGGAACUGCCUUUGAUACUGGGGAUCUUGAGUCCGGGAGAGGUGAGUGGAACUGCGAGUGUAGAGGUGAAAUUCGUAGAUAUUCGCAAGAACACCAGUGGCGAAGGCGGCUCACUGGCCCGGUACUGACGCUGAGGUGCGAAAGCGUGGGGAGCAAACAGG
rnacentral:rRNA from 1 species